GACGGGGGCCCGCACAAGCGGCGGAGCAUGCGGAUUAAUUCGAUGCAACGCGAAGAACCUUACCUGGGUUUGACAUAUGCCGGUAGCAGCCAGAGAUGGUUGUGCCUUUUGGGCCGGUUUACAGGUGGUGCAUGGCUGUCGUCAGCUCGUGUCGUGAGAUGUUGGGUUAAGUCCCGCAACGAGCGCAACCCUUGUCCUAUGUUGCCAGCGGUUCGGCCGGGAACUCAUAGGAGACUGCCGGGGUCAACUCGGAGGAAGGUGGGGAUGACGUCAAGUCAUCAUGCCCCUUAUGUCCAGGGCUUCACGCAUGCUACAAUGGCUGGUACAGAGGGUUGCGAUGCCGUGAGGUGGAGCGAAUCCCUUAAAGCCAGUCUCAGUUCGGAUUGGGGUCUGCAACUCGACCCCAUGAAGUCGGAGUCGCUAGUAAUCGCAGAUCAGCAUUGCUGCGGUGAAUACGUUCCCGGGCCUUGUACACACCGCCCGUCAAGUCAUGAAAGUCGGUAACACCCGAAGCCGGUGGCCUAACCUUUUUGGGGGGGAGCUGUCUAAGGUGGGAUCGGUGAUUAGGACUAAGUCGUAACAAGGUAACC
rnacentral:rRNA from 1 species